CAACUGAUAGCUACAUACAUUAUGGCCAGCCAAUCACGUGUAGGCUUGUUAUCUCACCACCCGUGAUGUCAGCAAGACUAUAUAAGCGUGGGUUGCCCCAAAAUCGAGGUCUGUCUCAAUCACAAGGUCUGUCACCUUAUUCCGUCUCUCUGAAACUCAUGUGAAUUUUUCUAACAUCUAGACCCGUGGAACGUACACUCUCUCUCAUGCCCAUCUAAAAUUUUGUGCCCUCUCUUGCGACAGCACGGUUUUCUUUUUAAGUGAUUUAUUUUCCGAACUGUUGUGUGAAUUUUGUGCUCAACUUAUCCGACAAUAUAAUCAAAUUCUUGUCCAGAAUAUCCAGUAUCCUCAUUUGACUCUCAUCUCUAUCUGUAGUUUGUUGUUCCUACUAAAAGAGCAACUGGUGCCGAAAUUCAGAACAAUCUAGCUAUAUCUUAUUAGGACGCUAUUUUGUUAAUAUAGUGUCAAAAUGAUCGACAACUAGUAUAGCAACGAAAGCCACGCUCGUUAGCUAACAUGAUGCCGAAACAACUCCUGUAAGACCGAGGACAACACGAAAUGUAUGUUCAAAACUAUCCAGAUUGUGGCAGAGUUUUACGGGCACCACUAUACCAAGGAUGUCACGAACAACCUAGUUAUGAGAUAACUUAACAUAUAUUUACCUACUAUGGACUCACUUUUUGCUGAUUUUCAACCUGCAUAUUAUUCCGUUAAUCUGCUAGCUUUCAUCAGAAUGAUCCUAAAUUCUGGACAUCCUCACUGCUCUUGAAAAACCAUUCUAUGACUAGAAUGGAACCUCUAUCAAUUUCUCCAUUUUUUAUCCAACCUUCGUUUUGGCUUUCUUGUGGGUGGAGGAGAGUUUUUUUUGGAGUUCUCUCUUUCAGAGAAAUUUUACCUCAUCCACGAAACUCUUACGAAAACUGAACCUUGACAGCUUUUGUUGAAAAAUACUCUCAAUACAUGAAGUUGGAUGAUUUCAGCCACAUCAAUUGGAUGCCUCGAAGUGCAGUCAAAACUCGACAAGACAGGGAAAAAAUCAUAUUCACAUGACUAUUUUUUAGUUGAACAUUGACCAUUGUUAGCAGGCAGUGCACUGAAAUUGACAUCUCCUUGAAAUCUGUUGAAUUUAUUUUUCCACAAGACCUCAUCAAGAUUGCUGUAUACCUCUUUAUUUGGAAAAAGUCUUCAUGAAGAUGAAAAAAGCUUUGCAGUGAAAUCUCCUGCGACAAUGGUGAAGGCUGGGGGCAGCCCAAAAUCGUUAGAUGAGAAUCAAAAUUUGCAGCAAUACAAUCUACUUAAAUGUUCAUCGCAUAUGCAGGUGCCAAGGACCAACAAGUCUGAAGGUAUUCUGAGUCAAUAAUCAUUAUCUGCAUUGGAGUUUGCCAAAAUUAUUUUUUUCAAUGUGAAAAUUUCUGCGUAGAGCAAGAAUUUCUCAUAUGUAGUUUAAAUAAUGGAGCUCGGGUGAAAGAUUUAGGUGCUCGUUUGACUGGUACAUUUGGUGACCCGUGGAAAGAAAAUUUUCGGCCUUUGAAUUUACUGCUACCUGAAACAGAAUACCACACAUUAAAUCCCUGAAAAAUUUUCUCGGUCAUUGUGAUGGCCACCCUUAUAAGGGAAAUUCCCAACCAGGGAAAGGUCACCCUUCUUUCAGAGAUGGAUUCGAUUCUCUAUAAGAAGUAAUUUUAUAAAAUUUAUGAUUUACUCUUAUAAAGAAUCAACUCGAUCACUGGAGGAGCGAUUGAUGAGAUGCACUUGACGAAAUACUUCGAGAUUCACCCUUAGAGUGAAAAACAAAGUAUUUAGACAACUACAAAUGCUAAAACAGAGUGGGAGAGCAAAUUAGCAAACUGAUGAAAAAUAAAAUUUAAACAUUCAUGCUUUUUACGAUCGGGAUUUUGAUGCAAGUUAAUAAAGACAAAGAAGUCUGGCGUUUUACAAUCUAUUAAAUGGAAAAUUUUAAGAAUUUUGAAAAAAUGAAAAAUUGAGAUUAAUACCUCAUUUAAAAUUAUUAAAGUCAUCUAAAAAUGAAAUAGAUUUCAGAGAGGAUAAAGAAAAGUCUUUCGACGAUUCACCACAGUUGUCCGGGGUUUCCAAGUUCCGAAAAUCGUAAGUCCAGAAUCCAAAAUAACGCCAAGUUGAAAACGAGAGAGAGCAGUAGGAGCUGGGUCCGAGGCAAGAGAGUGAGAUCCUGCCAGGCCGAGGCUCCCGGCAGGAAUACCAGAUCGAACCUCGAUAAAAAGGCGCGUUCAAGUUUUUGAAGUUUAUCAAAAAAGUCUUUAUUACGAGAGACAGAAAAUGAAUGUAAUGAGCGCAAUUAAGAUAAAGAGUUAAGCUCUUAUCUAAAUAUCUCAUCUCACCCUUACCAAAAAAGACGGCGCCCACGUCGUCGUAAAAAAAAGAAAGAUAUUUGAAAAACAAUGAAAAAGAAGGGUGGUGAGUAUGACUGAAGGCCAUGUAAAAGAAAACAAUUGAAAAUUAAUUGAAGGGGAGGGGCAAAAAAAGUACAUUAAUGAAAAAAAGUUAGAACGCCAAAAAAAGAAAAAAAAAAAAAAAAAAAAAAAAAAAAAAAAAAAUAUACAUUGCUGAAUUAAAAAUUAUAAACUGGAGCUGGAACAAACAAAGAGAAUAACAAAUGGAAAUUUUCAUAUUAGACGCUUGAAAAGUAAAAAACAGAAAUUACAAAAAAAAAAUUUUGAACUGUUACUUUUGACAAAAAGAAAAAUAUCAUUCUUCAUUAAGAAGAUCGCUCUGAAUUUCAUUUCUUCCUUUUGCACUCCGGGAACGGGGGGAACGCCCCGCUGAAGGAUUAACCAACUCAUGGGAGGCUAGGGAAAAGGGGAAGAAAAAUUGGCUGCCACCCCGAGCAAAGAGCAAGAGAAAAAUGAAUUUUUUUCUUGCUCAAAGCUCGAGCCUGGCAUGGCUGGCAUCGUCGAUACCUAGGGACUUCAAUGAGGGGAAUAGCCGUACCAAAGUUUCUAAGGUUUGUCAUAUUUUACUCUUUUUACCGUUCUGAGCCUUCCGGAAAAUGCUCCGGUUAGGCCAGCCGCGGGUACAACGCCCUGGAUUGACCCUAGCGUCCGUGUAGCCUUUGGAAUUACUGCCAGAGUCAUUGAUCCACGACUGACCUAUCAGUCGCAUGGAAAUGCCUUGAUCUGGAAAAAAAAAGCAAAGACAUGGGGUGAUGUUGUGGGGUGUGGAUAAACAUCAUUAAUACAAAGAACAAGAUAAGUAGUCACAGGUCUUACACAUUAUUAUUUUAAAUAAAGCCAAUUACAAGGUGCCAAGUAUAAAAACCAAUUUACAUAAAGAGAACAAAUUAUUGAGAAAUUUGAGAAAUAUGAGAAAUUAUUUAGUUGAAUUAUUUAUUUAGAGAAGGAGAAAAAAAAAGUAAAUUGGUCUCUGGGUUUGCAGGGCAUGUCAACAAUUUAAAAAUAAAUCUGACACCAUGCGUGUAAAAGACGAGGUCAUAGAUAUUUUUAUUUUUAAAUUGCGAAUUACUAAGGCUUUAAAGUUUCACCAUUGACAUUAUUUUUGCGUGGAAGAUCACAAAUGCAGUCGUUCGCGCUAGCCCUUGAAAUCGGGUGCCAUGUUGAGAUGCAUUUGCGUCUGUGCUCCAGGGGAUGCUUUUACUAUCCCUCUCCACAAAAGUAGUGAACAAAUCCACUUAGUUUAAACAAAUAAUUCGAUUACUUUAAAGUUGUUGCAAUUUACUGUAGUAAUGUUUUGCGCUGUUCUCUGAAAAAUAUGCUCAUCUUUAUUACUACAGUAAAAGUUACAAAACUUUACAACGCCUAAAAAGCGAGGGGAACCGAACAAAAGAUGUGACUCAGGUAGAGAAAUCGAAAAGACACCACAGUCCUUAUUCUGAGAAGAUACUUUCCGAAUCAAAGGAAUUGAUCAGAUUUCUCUUCUUCGGUUGAACAAUCAACCCAGAAGCAGGGUCCUCGAUUUACAAAACCCUUGAGAGUCAUCACAAAACGGUGGAACGCAACAAAAGUUGCCGAUUCAAAAAGGGGAGGCGAAUUAUUUGCUAAACGAAAAUGAGAAAGAAAGAUUUUGAUCAGGUUCAAAUUUUACCGUCGUGUUCUCACGACCCUUGUUGAAAGAAAUAAUAAACAAAAACAAGUCCACGUGAAGCUAAAAUUGUUGUAUAAAAAAAAAAUCAAAAGGUUCAUUAAAAAAUUGUAAGUAAAUUUUAAAAAAUGGAGACUUACAGAGUGGACAGAGUGGUUACUUUUAGAGUGGACUGUUAAUAUCAGCCAUGCCUCGAGCACGUCAUAGCGCUUUUAGCUCCGUUUUGGCAGCUUGAUUAUGUGCCUUUAAUUUUGUGCACCAUUUCACUAAGAAAAAUACCAUCGCCGCAAGAACAAUCAAAAAUAAAAUAAGAUUCUGAAUCAAAUCUUGCGUAAACGUAAAAAUGUACAUUUAUUUUUAGAAUCGUUAACUGAAGAGUUUACGUCGUUGCUUGCAAUUCCCAUUUUUGAAAAAGGACAGUUGAAAAAAAUUAAGGCAAAAAUCACUAGAUCUGAAUUCUGAACCCGUUGGUUUGAGAAGUAACAAUAAGUAAAAAUAUGAGAGCAACUGUUAACUAUUGAAAGCGGAAAUCAAAAAUGAGUUCUUCCUCGUAUUGUGUUAUCACAAUCCUUAUUCGAGAAUAAGUCCACGUAGAACGAAGAAUGACUCAAAAAUGUCAGUCUUUUUCAAGGGAAUAAGUUGAAAAAGGUUCGAAGAACUUCUUUAAUUUGGAAAUAUGACACUGACAAUGUAAAUCUGUAAUCAAUGUAAAAAUGAUUCAGAUGAUCUGUAACUCUCAUUAUAGUAAAAUCAGUGAGAUAAAUUCAGCGCAAUUUCAACUUGAAAAUUUUUUCUCUAGAAAUUCCCAGCUGUAGCCUUCUUAGAUUUCUAACGCCUGGAAGUGUCAAGAUGUAUGGGCGGGAGAAGGGGGGAAAAGGACGGCACACACAGAAUAACGCCAGUAAAAUCGGCUUUUCAUACUAACAAACUUUAUUCACAAAACAGAUACUUAUAUACAGGUAAUUGUCCUCGAUCAAUCCUCGCAGGUGAGGUGCAUUCGUCAAUAUUGAAGAGUAAACAUUAAACAUAGAAAGGUCGUUCAACACUUAUCAGUUGUUGCCAUAUUUCAUGACAGGAAGUGUAUGAUAGAUUUAAGCCAUCGAAAUCUCCUUUGUCACUCGUCACUAUUUCAGCUGUUGUGAUUUGUUGUUUAGUCGAUAUACCUACUGCUUCUUGUGAUAAUGAAAAUAAAUUGUUAAAUAAUUGUAAUGAUUGUUCUUAUUGUUGAAUAAAUUAUGAUAAUGAAAAUAAA